AUUGAACGCUGGCGGCAGGCUUAACACAUGCAAGUCGAGCGAGCGGCGGACGGGUGUGUACUGUCUGGGAAUCUGCCUGAUGGAGGGGGAUAACUACUGGAAACUGUAUCUAAUACCGCAUUCCAUCAUCAGUGCCCAUAUGGGUUGAUCUAGUAGGUGGGGUAAUGGCUCACCUAGGCGACGAUCCCUAGCUGGUCUGAGAGGAUGACCAGACACACUGGAACUGAGACACGGUCCAGACUCCUACGGGAGGCAGCAGUGGGGAAUAUUGCACAAUGGGCGCAAGCCUGAUGCAGCCAUGCAGCGUGUGUGAAGAAGGCCUUAGGGUUGUAAAGUACUUUCAGCGAGGAGGCGUUACGAACAGAAGGAGCACCGGCUAACUCCGUGCCAGCAGCCGCGGUAAUUC
rnacentral:rRNA from 1 species